CUAUUGGCCUUUUUCGAGGCCACCAUACAGCUUGAAUGCCAAAGAUU
rfam:Clonorchis sinensis DNA, scaffold: 236, strain: Henan.